rnacentral:rRNA from 1 species
ACGUAGGGUGCGAGCGUUAAUCGGAAUUACUGGGCGUAAAGCGUGCGCAGGCGGUUCUAUAAGACAGGUGUGAAAUCCCCGGGCUUAACCUGGGAAUUGCAUUUGUGACUGUAGGACUAGAGUGUGUCAGAGGGGGGUGGAAUUCCACGUGUAGCAGUGAAAUGCGUAGAUAUGUGGAGGAACACCAAUGGCGAAGGCAGCCCCCUGGGAUAACACUGACGCUCAUGCACGAAAGCGUGGGGAGCAAACAGGA